AUCUUUAGUUGGUUGCACAGUCAAGUCACAGACAGACAUGACAGUACACGUCAAAAAGUUUAACAACGGAGAUCGAGUAACAAGUUAACUGUUUUUAAAUAAUUUCAGCUGAAAUUUUCAUGUACCUUGCCAACUAACCUGUGCUUGUGACAAUAGAAAUGAAAUGGUCUAAUCCAAUAAUGCAAGCUCACAACCUAUGUCUUCUGAAGAAAAAUCAUUUCUGUUGCAGUUGGAAAUCUUCAAGAUAUUGAUGCCUUCGCCAGAUCCAAUUCUUUGUUGCUGAUGAGAGAGAGAAUUCAUCAUUUUGUGUGAGACCGUUUUAAUUAUAUGUAAAUUUUGCUUUAGAUUUUGCAUUUAGACUGAAUGAGAACCAUUUUGUUGCCCAUCCAAGGAUAAGGAAAAGGCCAACACCACCAACACUGUCAACAAGGUUCUUUGUUUGUUUACCCCUUGGCUGGUGAAAGAUUGUUGUGCAUCAAGUUAACCUGUGGCUGUUCCUUGUUGCUGGUGUGUUACGGAAGUUGCAGGAAGUUUAGCGUUUAUGUUAGCGAAGUUGCUGUCCGAUGUGGCAGUUUUUGCAGCCUAUGCUGGUGUCUGGUGAAAGAUCUUUCUGCAUCAAGUUCAACUGAUUGUUCCUUGGCGGUGGUGUUGUGUUACCAAAAUUGCAUCAUCAAUCAUCAUAUUGUUAAAUUGUCAUUGUGUCUGCAGUUAUCGUUCAGGAGUUAAGAAGGAACAAAAACAAAUAUGGGAAAAAAAAACCAGUUAAUCUAUAACCCUACAAACAUAUCCCUACCAAUUAAUCUCCAAACCCCACAAACUUAUACCUUCCAAUUCUUCAAACCCCACAAACAUACACCUUUUAAUCCUCAAAUUUAUACCCUAAACCACAUAAACUAAUGUUAAAACCUAGCAAUGUGAUGUCUGUAAUAAAUAAAAAAUUUAAUACCUAAAA